rnacentral:rRNA from 1 species
GCAUGCUAGUUGUACGAGUUUAGACUCGUAGCAGAUAGCUCAGUAACACGUGGCCAAACUACCCUAUGGAUCCGGACAACCUCGGGAAACUGAGGCUAAUCCGGAAUACGACUCUCAGCCUGGAAGUGGCGAGAGUCAGAAACGCCCCGGCGCCAUAGGAUGUGGCUGCGGCCGAUUAGGUAGACGGUGGGGUAACGGCCCACCGUGCCCAUAAUCGGUACGGGUUGUGAGAGCAAGAGCCCGGAGACGGUAUCUGAGACAAGAUACCGGGCCCUACGGGGCGCAGCAGGCGCGAAACCUUUACACUGCACGAAAGUGCGAUAAGGGGACUCCAAGUGCGAGGGCAUAUAGUCCUCGCUUUUCACUACCGUAAGGAGGUAGUAGAAUAAGUGCUGGGCAAGACCGGUGCCAGCCGCCGCGGUAAUACCGGCAGCACGAGUGAUGACCGCUCUUAUUGGGCCUAAAGCGUCCGUAGCUGGCCACGCAAGUCUAUCGGGAAAUCCGCGCGCUUAACGCGCGGGCGUCCGGUGGAAACUGUGUGGCUUGGGACCGGAAGAUCCAGAGGGUACGUCUGGGGUAGGAGUGAAAUCCCGUAAUCCUGGACGGACCACCGGUGGCGAAAGCGCUCUGGAAAGACGGAUCCGACGGUGAGGGACGAAAGCUCGGGUCACGAACCGGAUUAGAUACCCGGGUAGUCCGAGCUGUAAACGAUGUCUGCUAGGUGUGCCACAGGCUACGAGCCUGUGGUGUGCCGUAGGGAAGCCGUGAAGCAGACCGCCUGGGAAGUACGUCCGCAAGGAUGAAACUUAA